ensembl:lncRNA
UGUUGAUCUGAAUAAAUCUCUAGGAGGAGUUCGUUAAAAUACAAGGCAUGCAAAUGACAAAAAUGAUGCAAAAUUUGCUCAUAAAAUUAAAAAUAACCGACUUCCUGUUGGGUUUCGGAUAUUGCUCCAAGAGUCUUUUUUGUAGGUACUGAUGCUUUACAUAUGUGUGCCAAUUUUCGUGCAUGUACGUGAAACACAGCUCGAGGGCUGUUGAUUUUUUUACGAUAGGUGGCGCUGUCGAGCCAUUUUGCCACACCCUCUUCUGAAACCUAUAUCAGAUGUAAAUUUUCACCAGGUAUGACGCGUGUGCAAAGUUUCAGGACUUUUCGAGCAUGUUUAGGCCCUCAAAAAUGCGAUUCAUUUUGGAGAAGAAGAAGAAGAAGAAGAAGAAGAAGAAGAAUAAUAAUAAUUAAAGCUGCAAGCAGCGAUGAACGGGCCCUCGCACCCGGGCUCACCGCCAGCGGGUGGCUUUUGUAAAACAGCGAACGGCGAGAUAUAUGCGUUUAAUGUGGUAAAUAUAAGAGAAAUAUGUCAAAGUCAUUUAUAUGUGCCAAUCUUCCUGCUGCCAGCUGGUGGCGCUAUGACCAUAACUGGAUUUUGGCAUGUA